CCUACGGGAGGCAGCAGUGAGGAAUAUUGGUCAAUGGGCUUACGCCUGAACCAGCCAAGUCGCGUGAGGGAAGACUGCCCUAUGGGUUGUAAACCUCUUUUGUCAGGGAGCAACGCCGGCUACGUGUAGCCGUACUGAGAGUACCUGCAGAAAAAGCAUCGGCUAACUCCGUGCCAGCAGCCGCGGUAAUACGGAGGAUGCGAGCGUUAUCCGGAUUUAUUGGGUUUAAAGGGUGCGUAGGCGGAAUGCCAAGUCAGCGGUAAAAUCGCGGGGCUCAACCUCGCUCCGCCGUUGAAACUGGCGUUCUUGAGUGGGUGAGAAGUAUGCGGAAUGCGUGGUGUAGCGGUGAAAUGCAUAGAUAUCACGCAGAACUCCGAUUGCGAAGGCAGCAUACCGGGGCCCAACUGACGCUGAAGCACGAAAGCGUGGGUAUCGAACAGGAUUAGAUACCCGAGUAGUC
rnacentral:rRNA from 1 species